rnacentral:rRNA from 1 species
UGGGGGAUAUUGCACAAUGGGCGAAAGCCUGAUGCAGCGACGCCGCGUGGGGGAUGAAGGCUUUCGGGUUGUAAACCUCUUUCGCUACCGAACAAGGCCGCAGUUUUUGUUGUGGUUGAGGGUAGGUGGAUAAGAAGCGCCGGCUAACUACGUGCCAGCAGCCGCGGUAAUACGUAGGGCGCGAGCGUUGUCCGGAAUUAUUGGGCGUAAAGAGAUCGUAGGCGGUUUGUUGCGUCUGCUGUGAAAACGCGGGGCUUAACGCCGGGCGUGCAGGGGGUACGGGCAGGCUAGAGUGCGGUAGGGGAGAUUGGAAUUCCUGGUGUAGCGGUGGAAUGCGCAGAUAUCAGGAGGAACACCGAUGGCGAAGGCAGAUCUCUGGGCCGUUACUGACGCUGAGGAGCGAAAGCAUGGGGAGCGAACA